GACGCUUUGGUGGAGUGGUUAACACGUAUCCCUGCUACUUUUCUUUCCCUUCAUUCGGGCAAGUCUGUACAGUCAGCAUUUGGUCUCUGCCAAAGAAUAGGAUAUCCUCUCUGAGGGCGUGAGUUCGAAUCUCACAGGCGUCG
rfam:Pseudozyma hubeiensis SY62 DNA, scaffold: PHS66.